rnacentral:snRNA from 1 species
AGCGUGGAGAGCACACGG